GACGAACGCUGGCGGCGUGCUUAACACAUGCAAGUCGAGCGGUAAGGCCCUUUCGGGGGUACGACGAGCGGCGAACGGGUGAGUAACACGUGGGUGACCUGCCCUUAGCUCUGGGAUAAGCCUGGGAAACUGGGUCUAAUACCGGAUAUGACUCCAUAACGCAUGUUGUGGGGUGGAAAGCCUUGUGCGGCUAGGGAUGGGCCCGCGGCCUAUCAGCUUGUUGGUGGGGUGAUGGCCCACCAAGGCGACGACGGGUAGCCGGCCUGAGAGGGCGACCGGCCACACUGGGACCGAGACACGGCCCAGACUCCUACGGGAGGCAGCAGUGGGGAAUCUUGCGCAAUGGGCGAAAGCCUGACGCAGCGACGCCGCGUGGGGA
rnacentral:rRNA from 1 species